UAGGGAAUCUUCGGCAAUGGGGGGAACCCUGACCGAGCAACGCCGCGUGAGUGAAGAAGGUUUUCGGAUCGUAAAGCUCUGUUGUUAAGGAAGAACGAGUGUGAGAAUGGAAAGUUCAUACUGUGACGGUACUUAACCAGAAAGGGACGGCUAACUACGUGCCAGCAGCCGCGGUAAUACGUAGGUGGCAAGCGUUGUCCGGAUUUAUUGGGCGUAAAGCGAGCGCAGGCGGUCAAUUAAGUCUGAUGUGAAAGCCCCCGGCUCAACCGGGGAGGGUCAUUGGAAACUGGUUGACUUGAGUGCAGAAGAGGAGAGUGGAAUUCCAUGUGUAACGGUGAAAUGCGUAGAUAUAUGGAGGAACACCAGUGGCGAAGGCGACUCUCUGGUCUGUAACUGACGCUGAGGCUCGAAAGCGUGGGUAGCAAACAGG
rnacentral:rRNA from 1 species